rnacentral:rRNA from 1 species
CCUACGGGGGGCAGCAGUGAGGAAUAUUGGUCAAUGGACGAGAGUCUGAACCAGCCAAGUCGCGUGAAGGAUGACUGUUCUAUGGGUUGUAAACUUCUUUUAUAAAGGAAUAAAACGAGGCACGUGUGCCUUUUUGCAUGUACCUUAUGAAUAAGGAUCGGCUAACUCCGUGCCAGCAGCCGCGGUAAUACGGAGGAUCCGAGCGUUAUCCGGAUUUAUUGGGUUUAAAGGGAGCGUAGGUGGGUUGUUAAGUCAGGUGUGAAAGUUUGGGGCUCAACCGUAAAAUUGCAAUUGAUACUGGCAGUCUUGAGUGCAGUUGAGGUAGGCGGAAUUCGUGGUGUAGCGGUGAAAUGCUUAGAUAUCACGAAGAACCCCGAUUGCGAAGGCAGCUUACUAAACUGUGACUGACGUUGAUGCUCGAAAGUGUGGGGAUCAAACAGGAUUAGAUACCCGUGUAGUC